rnacentral:lncRNA from 1 species
CCGCCUUGCCGGCCCUGAACGUCCCCGUCACCGCCAAGUGGCGCUACCUGUCCGCCUUCGUGUACGUCUCUCGCCCUCUCUCUUUUCCUCUUUUGGGUGAAUCGCUUAUGGAUAUUUUGUUCUAGGGUUUCAUGGAUUUUAUGUAAAAAGGGUUUGACUUUACUAUAAAAGAUAAAAAGUAUCGUAUCGACUAUAUGGGUUAGAGAUAUCUAACAUCAUGGAUAUGUGUCAAUUACAACGGACGAACAUACGUGGGCUGUCAUGUUCUAUCAUCCAUGUGGUUAUAACUGUUUUUAAUAUGAAUCAAUAUCUUAAGAUAAGAAAUAUCUAACUUAACAUCAGAGCUCAGUUUAUACAUCAUUUGUCGCCUAACCAUCUCAUAUAUGCUCGUCCUUGCUUCUCAUUUAUAAAAAAAAUUGGCUAAGGCAUUCUUAUCCUUGGUGUGCACGUAAAAGUUAAGUUGAUAGUUGCACGUUGCUAUUGUUUUUUUUUUUUUUUUUUUGGGACCCGGGGAGGGAGAGUGAAAUUGUAUGUUUCUGGUGCAGGGUCCGUUUCAAGAAUCACAUUUACUUAUAAUAGUAUUAGAGCUCAUGUCCUGAGUUUCACUUUUUUGUUAUCCUCCCUCUCAUUCUCUUAAUCAUUUUUUUUUUCCAAAUAUAAGGAAGUUACUUAUAAAAGCUAGAAGGAAGCUCACCUUUCAAGUUACUUAAUCCUUCGAUUUCUCUAUCCUGCUGGAUUUUGAGAAAACUCGUUUCAUCGUCUGCAAAUCAUAUGCCCUGGCGCCAUCUUGACCUUCAAUUAUAUAGGUUCUUUUGAAGACCCACUUGAUCAAGGAUUGAGAUGGACAUAACACCACACUUCAAUUCUUGUCCGACGAUUACUCGAAAGAGAUAUAUAUGUGCAUGCGUUCAUUCAGUACCUCAAUUACGAUACCGCAACAAAAAUUAGAAAAAAAAAAGUUACUUUGGCGGUUGAAACUCGUGCAUUGACCAGGUAUAAGUCUUUAAAUUAUGGCAUGUCAUCUAACAUACGUUACUACUAUUAAAAAAAAAUACAUGGACUUUGUUAACAAGUGCUCCUAGAACAUCUGUUAGGUAUACUUGUUUUGAUUUUCAAAACACCAAUUGUGCAUAACAUGAGGACAAUUGAUAUAUUUGAGAAGCUACGGACAUUUCUUGAUCGAUUGCUGAAUACCCAAUAUCUCUAGAAUAACCAUAGUCGAGAAAAUUAUAUAUAAAGUUUAUUUUGUAUGUAUUCAUGGUAAACUAAUAGCAUCACUCCUUAAUAUUUAUUCCCAGUACUCUGGGCAUAUCGAUUGUGCAUUAAAAGCCCUUGCCUCUCACCCACUCGGGCAGUUUAAAAUUGACGAAGGCACCACCUACCCCUCAUUUAAUUCUCUAGGUUUUCUAUUUAUCGACUUUUGUAGAAAAUUCUACUACCACCUCCUAGCUUUUAACACUUUGGUCGCAUCGAAAUUAUGGCAUGUCAUCUAACACACAUUAGUACUGAAAAAAAAUAAUAUAAGAUUUAUUUUGUAUGUCUUCAUAGUGAAUUAUAGCAUCACUCCUUAAUAUUUAUUCCCAGUACUUUGGGCAUAUCGAUUGUGCAUUAAAAGCGCUUGCCUCUUACCCGCUAGGGCAGUUUAAAAUUGACGAAGACACCACCUACGCCUCAUUUAAUUCUCUAGCUUUUUAUUUUUAUCGACUUUUGUACAAAAUUCUACUAUCACCUCCUGGCAGUCCCCCUCGGUCUCGGUAAGGUUGGACAUUUUCCUUUUCCCGAAAUAACGAUUCCUGAUCUUGUUUUUCCCUCUAGCCGACAGCUCCCAUCCCAUCAGUCACCUUUCGAAGCUCUUUUCCAAAGGAAAAUUUGAAGUUUUACGUGUUAUGCGUGAUUAAUAAUUUGAUAAUUGAAUUAUUCAAUUAUUAAAUACGUCUAAUAAGUGUCCUGUAAAUAUUGAUUAAUAAAAUCUGUAAAGAUAAAAAAAAAAAAAAAAAGAAUAUAUCUUGGGUUGGCAGCAAAUGGUCAAUUAUAAAUAUUAAACCUGAGUCGAAAAUUUCACAACUAAUUAAAUAAAAGGAGUUUAAAUAGAAUUGUAUCGAUUUGAAUAACAGAGAUUUUUUCAUAAUCUCUUUUUUUUUUUCUCUCUCUCUCUCUCUCCCUCUUUUCAGGUACUUUGUGGUGGCUAACGCUAUAGCGUGCGGCUACUCCGCGCUCUCCUUGCUCCUCCUCCUCGCCAACAAGGCCGGCAAGAGCAGAACCCUGGCCUCAGCGGUGGCGAUUUUGGACAUCAUCAUGGUGGCGCUCCUCUUCUCCAGCUGCGGUGCCGCGACCGCUGUCGGGGUCCUCGGCCGCGAGGGGAACUCGCAUGUGCAAUGGGGAAAGGUGUGCAACGUCUUUGACAAGUUCUGUGACCGCGUGGCCGUCGCCAUCGGCUUGUCCUUAUUUGGGUCGUUGGCUUUCGUUUUAAUGGGCGGUUUGGCGGUCAUGGCCUGAGUGGUCCUUUCCGAAAAAGCAUCUUCUUAUGUACUGCACUUUUCGAUAUUUAAGGCUGUUGUCUCUGUGUUUUUGCUUAUACUUUUAUUUGGGGAUUGAGAUGUGGAGGUGUGUCUUGGUAAAUGUUGCUUAUGUGAUGAUAUUCCUCUUCUUCUUUUUCGUUGGUAAGAAUGGCCUGCGCGAUAUGGAUGCAUAUGUGUUCUAUCGAUCGAUAAAAGAGAAAAGUUUGUGCGAUCAGCUUUCUUAUUAAUUCAUAGAAGCUGUGAGGAGUCCAUUUAUUUUCCUGAACCCGUUCAUUUGGGCCUUGACUUCUCAUAGUAUGGUGAUCAUUGGGCGGACCCGAGCAGAGCUAGGUGCGAAGGUCGGGUCAAUUGUAUUGCUAAAAGCCCGCUCCUAAUAUAUGUUUUUUGCAUUGAAAUGUUUUGUUUUUUUUCUUUGGUAAGGUAAGUAAUAUAUUGACUUUUAAUCAAAAACUAGACAGCAGGGGGUUCUCGGCACCAAAAAAUUACACUCAUAAUGACAAACAUGUCAUAACGAGUGGAAGAGUGUCGAGAAAAAAGGAAACACAAACAACCAAACAGCGGCAAAAAAUAAGAAAGGAAGGAGGAAAAAAGGGAAACCAGCCAGCAAAACAGAGGCAACCCUCACAGUUGGGUGCCGUUGUGCUUUCUCGUCAAAGCCCCUUGGCCAAAUCCAUUCAUUUGUCUUCUGGGUCUCUCGGGCCAAGUUGGCCCCCCACCCGUUGAUCAUCUCUAUUUACGACUGGGGCGAUGAGCAUGGGUCCUUUUGGGCCUCGAUUCCAUACUAAAAUGUAGGGCCGGUGAAAAGUUCGUUGCGUUGCGGGCCUUAGUCUUGACCAUCUGCAAAAUCAUUGUCCUGUUUUAUGGUUAAAUCAAUCAUGCAAGACGGAUAAAUAAGGAAUGGUUUAUAAGACUCACACUUUUACGCAUCAAUUCCAUGCUCUUCAUUUGAAAUUUAUGGAGAUCUCAUGGUGCAUAUGUACAUGGUUUACUCGAAGAGACUUUAUAGAUAUGUUCGAGAGGAUACAAGAAAGUGACAUAAACGGAUAAUGCCAAAAAAAAAAAUGAUGAAAUUGUUCAAGAAAAUCCUUCACUUUACUUUAAUAUAGCACGUUUUCUCCACUAAACAAAAAAUUCUUAUUUUGAAAUAUCUGAAUCCCUAAAUAAUGGAAAGAAGUUAUUAAUGACAAUAUACAUUACAAAGUAAUUCUAUAGAAAUAUAUGCGUAAAGAGAAGAUAAUUCAUGACUUAAACUUUCCUCUUAGAGAGAGAGACAGAGAGGCAGAGAGAGGAUUCCAAUUCUAUUAUUUUUAAAUGUUAGAGAAAAAUAAAAUUGUUAAUGAUACUUGUGAAAAAAAAAAAGUCGCUGAUGUAUUGAAAAGGAAAAAAAAUGAUUACAAUUCUUAAAAGUACAAAGAUCUUAUUAUUUGAUCUAGGGAUAUUCGCACUACAAGUUCUAAAACUUGUCACGAAAAUGCAAUUAAGUUUUAAAACUUUCAAAAAAUGCAAUUAAAUCGUAAAAUUUGUCAAAUUAGUGCAGUUAAAUAUUUCCGAUAACACUGUCAAUUUGUUUAAUAGAAAAUGUUGAAGUGGCAUUUUUAAAUUUAUUUAUUUAUCCUACAUGGAAUUUUAUUACAUUUUUCUUUAAAAUCUUGUUUAAAUAAUGGUAAAAAACUUUUAAAAAGCUAAAAUAAUUUUUAAAAACAUAAUUGUAAACGAAAAAAAAGGGCUAGGUCGUGGCUGGGCACGCCGUUGCUGCCCAUUGUCUGAGGGGUUGCCCGCCCUAGGCAGUGGAGGGGGGCGGCCCUUGCCGGCCUAGUUGAGGCUCGAGCAAGGCUUGCCCAAAUGUGGGCAAUGCUGGCCCUCACUUGUAGUUAGUGACCUUCCCCAGCCCUGGCGAGGGCUGCCCCCCCUCCAUUGCCUAGGGCCGAGGAGAUUGUUGACCUCUCCAACAAUAGUAGCUGUGGCGGCAUCUGUAACAUCUUGGAUUCCAACCUCAUAAGGAUUUGGCCAUAAGGUCCUAAAAGGAUCGAUUUUGGGCCAUUGGCCAUGAGAUUGAUCAGUUUGAUCGGUAAGGCAUCAAGGAUUGGUCAUGGUCCGACUGAUCAACUGGUCACAAACAAGUCGAGGUAUCGACUGUGAAUUUUCUACCGGCCAUACUGAUGGGAUAGGAUCACAAGCUCAUAAGAUGACCUUUUGAUCACCCCUCACUAGCAUCUAGUGAGGGGCGACCUCGCCGACCUUGGGCGAGCCUCACCCUAGCUGACCUUGGGCGAGCCUCACCCUAGCCAAGUUUGACGAGGUCGAGCCUCGCAAGCCUCAGGCAAGGUCACCCCUCGCCAGAACCCAGCAAGGCCGACCCUCGCUAGUCAUGUCCCCUGGUUGGCUGCCAAAGGUUGGGCAAUACACUAGAGGAAGAAAAGGAGAAAAAAAAAAAGGAAAAAAAGAGGGAAGAAAAAAAUAUAUAAAUUAAAAUUUCAAAAAAAUUAAAAGUAACAAAUUUUGUCCACAUUGAUGUCGAACGUGCCACGUAGGACUGUCAAUGUCCAUGUCAGCAAAUUUUGUCCAAAAUUGACUGAAUGUACUCAAUUAGCAAAAUAUUGAAAAAUUUAGGAUUCAAUUGAUAAAGUUAAAAUAUUUGGAAUUGAAUUGGCAAAAAGUAUAAUAGAUUUAAGCCUUUUUGAAUAAUUUCCCCAAAAUUGAUUUGAUACGCUUAAUCUUUUGGACAUGUGUCAUGGGCCGAAAGAAGGUUGACCCGAGAGGCUCUCUGGAGUCGACCGUGACUCAUCUGUGUUAGACCUCCUGUGCUCGCUCGGAUUCCCAACGAGCCUUCUCCCCGAAGCAGGCUUGGCUUAGGUGCUUUGGCGAUCCAAUCCGAUCCUAAAGUGCCCGAGUCGUCGCACGGUCACGAUCCCAAUCGAUCGGCCCGUGACACAUGCAUGUUUGGUGCAGUAACUCUUAAGUCCCUCCUAACUCAAGUAACACUGAUGACCAUGUUGAACCAAUCUGGCGAGGAGUUUUGACAUUUUCGAGUCCUCGAUUUGACCAUUCCAUCGGUAUGUGUUGACUUCAAUGCUCUGGAAAUUGUUACGGCUAUGACUUCCUAGUGAAGAUCAUAGUGUCAUAGCGUGUUUUUCAAGUGCUAAAGUAGGACAAGGAUCAAAUCCUUUGUUCAGUGGAAACCUCUUUUAAGUUGAAUAAUCACGUGGAAGUCACCGUUUAGAGAAAAUUGUUAACGGAAUGGUGACGUGGCAAAUACAUGGUAUCUUAUGUACCUUGAUUUAAAAAAAAAUGAAUGAGUAUAUAUAAAAUGUACAAAAAAGAAAAUAUAAUUGUGUUGGCCUCAACAUAUGCUGGUGCUUGUGGGGCCUAGUGGCCACAGUCACAACGACACUAACAAGGGCUGUUCAAGGCCACAUCAGACCGGCGAUAAUGGAUAGCUGAGGUCGUGCGACCCCAGCCAUGACGGGUUCAAGGUCACUUGACCCUAGGAGGCAAGAGAUGGUGGCACUUUUCUCUUGACUCUAUCUCUCCCUCUAUCACAGUGCCUACUGUGCGGUGGUCAGGCAAAGGCUGGCGAGCACUUCGUGACCCUUGUUGGGGCACCUCUUUCUCUCUCCCCAUUUGAGGUGUUUUAUUGUUAAACAAUCCAGUCAGCAUGAUCGACACCUGUCAAGGCUGACGUGGCACUAAGGCAGCGGACCACGUACCAUUUACAAUUUUUAACACAGACGAACUGAAUAGAAAAAAAGAAUAAUUUAGGGACUGCUAAAUUAACAUCCAGAUCCGGCAGUUUCAACAUCUCCAGAAAAUAUGACAACAAUUGGUUUGCAGUCCAGAUCAAGGUCAGCGUCCAGUCUGACAAAUUUGCCGAACAUGUUAGAACCGCGCCUGUAAUAAUUGUAGGUUGUUCUCCAUCGAAGGAGAGAAUAAUACAGUGCCAUGAAUAUAUUUUGGCCACGUUUCCCUCACAAAUUUCUCCUUUUUCCCCCCUUGGCCGCAUGUAAAAGGCCAGCCUGGAUGCUGGAAGCCUGAAACCUAUCCCAGACCCAACAAUUAAAAUACAAGAUUUCCCACUCUGUCAUAAUCUCAUAUGAGACUUCAUGACUGUAAAUGUUGAAGAACCUUUUUAUAAAAUAAGGGUACUUGAUGAAGUGUGCAAGAAUCAAUUUCUUGUAUUGAAAAGAUAAGGGUAGGUUUCGAAGGAUUUUCAGCUCAGUAACUAGACAUGACUUGUUUAAAUUCAUCUAUAACUUCUCUGGUAAGGAUUGUUUAUUUAAGUUUAUUGGAUCUAUGGAGUAUUCCAUGAGCUUUUACAUUCGCGUUUACUAACAAUAUAUGCUUUUCAAAGUUGUUUCUCUCUAAACAUUUUUUAUUUUUAUUUUUGAUAAUAUUAAAUUAAGUGUCAUUGGAAAACAUGAUCUCAAUCUUUCAUUAUUGGGGUGUUAUUGAAGCAGCCAAGUUGUUUGGCAUUUUCAUGGCAAUUAUAAAGGUUCAACUAAAGAUAGGAUAGUCCUUAAACCACGGAUCACCAACCUAAUUAAUUAUGCUUACCAACUUAACAAAUUGUGAGUACACAAUCAAUGCACUGCUUGAGAGUAAUCACAAUCUCUUAUAAAGUAAUACAGUAAGCAGUCCAUGACAUGGACGUAAACCCUAAUUGCUUACUAGUCUUUCAAACUUCCUAAUACAUUACAAAAAUCUGACAAAGAGCCAUUGCUAUGAAUUACCAUAUCAACGUAUGAAGAUAAAGACUUUGUAUGGACACAGGUUUUGAAUUUUGACAUAGAAAAGGAAAAGACAAACCCUUUUUGGAAUGAAGCUCAAAAUUGUCUGAAAAGGCAAAGAUCAGAUCGUCCAACUUCGGAAUUCAUGACGUUUUGUCAGAUAUCGAACCGUAUGAAAGCAUGGGAGACGUUCACAUCCAAAUGCACAUUAUAUAUUACCGAAAAGAAUAAAAUUAUAUUGUCCAUUCCUUCACGAACCUCCACCUAUCUCCCAACUAUAUUUACGUGUUCAAAUGCUAUAAUUAUUAAAACUAUAUUAAAAAUAUUUUUAUUUGUUUUAGUGUGAAUGCGGCUAAAUAAGUUUUGUAUUCAUGGGUCGUUGCGUUCAUAAUUGUCGCUUUGAGGCAAGAAAAUGCUUAUCUACACACAAGCAAGCGCAUGGGUUUCGAGGGAGAAAUUAUCUAAAGCAAAUUCAAUUUUGAAUUUUCGAAGUAUACUAAUUCAAUCAUAUAUUUUUGCGUAAAAUUUUAAUAGUCUUUCCAACCAAUUUGCAUUGGAAAUUAUUGGCAUAACAAUGCGCCACUUAGGACCGUCAUCGAUGAUUAGAUUGUCACUUCAAUAAUUUUUUACAAAUACUGAUGGAAAUGAUUACAUUCACGUAAAUGCUUAGAAAUAAAUUGGUAAAAUUAAAUAAUAAUAACAUUAAAUUAAUAUUCGUAUAAUAAAUUUAAGAUUGAUUUGCCGAUUUUCCGAUUCUCAUUUAAUAGUGAGCAUGUAAGUCAGAAUAGUAUUCGUUUGCUUCACGUAAUAAGUGCGCCGGUGUGGAAAGGGGGUCCGCCGAUGGAAAUUUCAACAAGCUGCACCUUCUCAUGUAAAAGUCAAAUAUCAGUGGGAGUUCUCAAAUUCAAACCCUGAUCUCCAGGAGUCAAAGUAACAGGACGUUAAUCUCUCUUGAACGUUUAUCUUUCGACCACGACGACAAAAAGCGUACUAAUUCGGGUACGUGAACUGGGUCGACCAAAACAACGAGGAUAAAACCCAAAUGUCAGCUAUACAAAAACUGGUCUGGAUAAUUCGUAUACCGAGCCACAUGCGACACGUUCUAAUGGGUUGUUUAAGCGAUCGGAUCACAUGAAAUACUCAAUUGAAACCUGUCGGAAGCUGUAUUAUCUAGCAUCAACUUUGUGAAAAUAAAUUAGAUUUGUGGAAAAGGGAGUGAAGUUUGAAUGCGCGUACAUGAAAUGAUGCAAGUGACAACGUGCACCAUCGAUUCGGGGAAUGUGUACACACACCCACCUUUCCAUGCAUGCCAUAAAUUCACGGAUGCCUCACUUUCUUGUGAGCUCUUCUAAGCUUCCCCCGAAAAAAAACGCACGAUUCCAAACCUUCCUUUCACACCUCCCUUUAUAAAUUAGAACCCCCAUUUGAUCUCCACAAUUCAUCUCUCUCUCUCUCUCACAGACAUACACACGACUUCUAGCGUAUCGCAUGAAGAGUUACAGCAACAACGGGACUAGAAGCAGCCUGAAUAUGGAUGGCGAGGCGAACAAGGCGGUGAGGGGAUAUGGCGAGAACAGACGGACAGGGACGUGCGGUCUGGCGCUGAGGCUCCUGGCCCUGGUGCUGACCCUCGCCGCCGCGGUGGUCCUCGGGGUCGACAAGCAGACCAAGACCGUGCCAGUCCAGGUCAGCCCCGCCUUGCCGGCCCUGAACGUCCCCGUCACCGCCAAGUGGCACUACCUGUCCGCCUUCGUGUACUUCUCUCGCCCUCUCUCUUUUCCUCUUUUGGGUGAAUCGCUUAUGGAUAUUUCGUUCUAGUGUUUCAUGGAUUUUAUGCAAAAAGGGCUUGACUUUACUUCAGAAGAUAAAAAGGAUCGUAUCCACUAUAUACGUUAGAGAUAUCUGACAUGAUGCAUAUGUGUCAAUUAUAAUGGAG